rnacentral:rRNA from 1 species
GGUAUCCUGUCUGAAUAUGGGGGGACCAUCCUCCAAGGCUAAAUACUCCUGACUGACCGAUAGUGAACCAGUACCGUGAGGGAAAGGCGAAAAGAACCCCGGCGAGGGGAGUGAAAAAGAACCUGAAACCGUGUACGUACAAGCAGUGGGAGCACGCUUCGGCGUGUGACUGCGUACCUUUUGUAUAAUGGGUCAGCGACUUAUAUUCUGUAGCAAGGUUAACCGAAUAGGGGAGCCGAAGGGAAACCGAGUCUUAACUGGGCGUUAAGUUGCAGGGUAUAGACCCGAAACCCGGUGAUCUAGCCAUGGGCAGGUUGAAGGUUGGGUAACACUAACUGGAGGACCGAACCGACUAAUGUUGAAAAAUUAGCGGAUGACUUGUGGCUGGGGGUGAAAGGCCAAUCAAACCGGGAGAUAGCUGGUUCUCCCCGAAAGCUAUUUAGGUAGCGCCUCGUGAAUUCAUCUCCGGGGGUAGAGCACUGUUUCGGCAAGGGGGUCAUCCCGACUUACCAACCCGAUGCAAACUGCGAAUACCGGAGAAUGUUAUCACGGGAGACACACGGCGGGUGCUAACGUCCGUCGUGAAGAGGGAAACAACCCAGACCGCCAGCUAAGGUCCCAAAGUCAUGGUUAAGUGGGAAACGAUGUGGGAAGGCCCAGACAGCCAGGAUGUUGGCUUAGAAGCAGCCAUCAUUUAAAGAAAGCGUAAUAGCUCACUGGUCGAGUCGGCCUGCGCGGAAGAUGUAACGGGGCUAAACCAUGCACCGAAGCUGCGGCAGCGACGCUUAUGCGUUGUUGGGUAGGGGAGCGUUCUGUAAGCCUGUGAAGGUGUGCUGUGAGGCAUGCUGGAGGUAUCAGAAGUGCGAAUGCUGACAUAAGUAACGAUAAAGCGGGUGAAAAGCCCGCUCGCCGGAAGACCAAGGGUUCCUGUCCAACGUUAAUCGGGGCAGGGUGAGUCGACCCCUAAGGCGAGGCCGAAAGGCGUAGUCGAUGGGAAACAGGUUAAUAUUCCUGUACUUGGUGUUACUGCGAAGGGGGGACGGAGAAGGCUAUGUUGGCCGGGCGACGGUUGUCCCGGUUUAAGCGUGUAGGCUGGUUUUCCAGGCAAAUCCGGAAAAUCAAGGCUGAGGCGUGAUGACGAGGCACUACGGUGCUGAAGCAACAAAUGCCCUGCUUCCAGGAAAAGCCUCUAAGCAUCAGGUAACAUCAAAUCGUACCCCAAACCGACACAGGUGGUCAGGUAGAGAAUACCAAGGCGCUUGAGAGAACUCGGGUGAAGGAACUAGGCAAAAUGGUGCCGUAACUUCGGGAGAAGGCACGCUGAUAUGUAGGUGAAGCGACUUGCUCGUGGAGCUGAAAUCAGUCGAAGAUACCAGCUGGCUGCAACUGUUUAUUAAAAACACAGCACUGUGCAAACACGAAAGUGGACGUAUACGGUGUGACGCCUGCCCGGUGCCGGAAGGUUAAUUGAUGGGGUCAGCGCAAGCGAAGCUCUUGAUCGAAGCCCCGGUAAACGGCGGCCGUAACUAUAACGGUCCUAAGGUAGCGAAAUUCCUUGUCGGGUAAGUUCCGACCUGCACGAAUGGCGUAAUGAUGGCCAGGCUGUCUCCACCCGAGACUCAGUGAAAUUGAACUCGCUGUGAAGAUGCAGUGUACCCGCGGCAAGACGGAAAGACCCCGUGAACCUUUACUAUAGCUUGACACUGAACAUUGAGCCUUGAUGUGUAGGAUAGGUGGGAGGCUUUGAAGUGUGGACGCCAGUCUGCAUGGAGCCGACCUUGAAAUACCACCCUUUAAUGUUUGAUGUUCUAACGUUGACCCGUAAUCCGGGUUGCGGACAGUGUCUGGUGGGUAGUUUGACUGGGGCGGUCUCCUCCUAAAGAGUAACGGAGGAGCACGAAGGUUGGCUAAUCCUGGUCGGACAUCAGGAGGUUAGUGCAAUGGCAUAAGCCAGCUUGACUGCGAGCGUGACGGCGCGAGCAGGUGCGAAAGCAGGUCAUAGUGAUCCGGUGGUUCUGAAUGGAAGGGCCAUCGCUCAACGGAUAAAAGGUACUCCGGGGAUAACAGGCUGAUACCGCCCAAGAGUUCAUAUCGACGGCGGUGUUUGGCACCUCGAUGUCGGCUCAUCACAUCCUGGGGCUGAAGUAGGUCCCAAGGGUAUGGCUGUUCGCCAUUUAAAGUGGUACGCGAGCUGGGUUUAGAACGUCGUGAGACAGUUCGGUCCCUAUCUGCCGUGGGCGCUGGAGAACUGAGGGGGGCUGCUCCUAGUACGAGAGGACCGGAGUGGACGCAUCACUGGUGUUCGGGUUGUCAUGCCAAUGGCACUGCCCGGUAGCUAAAUGCGGAAGAGAUAAGUGCUGAAAGCAUCUAAGCACGAAACUUGCCCCGAGAUGAGUUCUCCCUGACCCUUUAAGGGUCCUGAAGGAACGUUGAAGACGACGACGUUGAUAGGCCGGGUGUGUAAGCGCAGCGAUGCGUUGAGCUAACCGGUACUAAUGAACCGUGAGG